rnacentral:rRNA from 1 species
UCGCCUGUUUAUCAAAAACAUAGCUUAAAGUUAUUAAUUKUAMGYWACUCCUGCCCGGUGAAUUUUUUUUAACGGCCGCAGUACCCUGACUGUGCUAAGGUAGCAUAAUAAAUUGACUUUUAAUUGAAGUCUGGAAUAAAAGGAGCCACGGAAAAAAUCUGUCUCAUGACAAAUAAUUUUAAAUUACUUAAAAGGUGAAAAUACCUUUAAUAAAGAAAAUAGACGAGAAGACCCUAAGAAUUUUAAGGAAAAUACUUUUUAAGAACUAACUUUUUACUGGGGCGGUAAAGGAUCAAUUAAACAUCCUUAUUGAUUUUACUCCAAAUAUUAUUUUUUUUAAAAAAAUUACCUUAGGGAUAACAGCAUAAUUUUUUAUUAAGUUUGUGACCUCGAUGUUGGACUAGGAAAUUWUAAGAUUAGCCAUCAUAAAAAAUAGUUCUGUUCGAACUUUUKUCKCCUACAUGAUCUGAUUUCAGACCGKA